CCCCCGGGAAGUCAUCGUGUUGCAUCCCU
rnacentral:rRNA from 1 species